rnacentral:rRNA from 1 species
GAAUAUUGGACAAUGGGGGGAACCCUGCUCCAGCCAUGCCGCGUGUGUGAAGACGGCCUUUUGGUUGUAAAGCACUUUACGCGAGGAGGAGGCUACGCUAGUUAAUACCUAGAGAUAGUGGACGUUACUCGCAGAAUAAGCACCGGCUACCUCUGUGCCAGCAGCCGCGGUAAUACAGAGGGUGCAAGCGUUAAUCGGAUUUACUGGGCGUAAAGCGCGCGUAGGUGGCCAAUUAAGUCAAAUGUGAAAUCCCCGAGGUUAACUUGGGAAGUGCAUUCGAUACUGGUUGGCUAGAGUAUGGGAGAGGAUGGUAGAAUUCCAGGUGUAGCGGUGAAAUGCGUAGAGAUAUGGAGGAAUACCGAUGGCGAAGGCAGCCAUCUGGCCUAAUACUGACACUGAGGUGCGAAAGCAUGGGGAGCAAACA